rnacentral:rRNA from 1 species
UACGGGGGGGGCUAGCGUUGUUCGGAAUUACUGGGCGUAAAGGGCGCGUAGGCGGCCUACUAAGUCGGACGUGAAAUCCCUCGGCUCAACCGGGGAACUGCGUCCGAUACUGGUGGGCUCGAAUCCGGGAGAGGGAUGUGGAAUUCCAGGUGUAGCGGUGAAAUGCGUAGAUAUCUGGAGGAACACCGGUGGCAAAGGCGGCAUCCUGGACCGGUAUUGACGCUGAUGCGCGAAAGCCAGGGGAGCAAACGGG